rnacentral:rRNA from 1 species
AUGGACGCUGGCGGCGUGCCUCAUCCCUGCAAGUCGCGCGAACGGACGAGAAGCUUGCUUCUCUGAUGUUAGCGGCGGACGGGUGAGUAACACGUGGAUAACCUACCUAUAAGACUGGGAUAACUUCGGGAAACCGGAGCUAAUACCGGAUAAUAUUUUGAACCGCAUGGUUCAAAUGUGAAAGACGGUCUUGCUGUCACUUAUAGAUGGAUCCGCGCUGCAUUAGCUAGUUGGUAAGGUAACGGCUUACCAAGGCAACGAUGCAUAGCCGACCUGAGAGGGUGAUCGGCCACACUGGAACUGAGACACGGUCCAGACUCCUACGGGAGGCAGCAGUAGGGAAUCUUCCGCAAUGGGCGAAAGCCUGACGGAGCAACGCCGCGUGAGUGAUGAAGGUCUUCGGAUCGUAAAACUCUGUUAUUAGGGAAGAACAUAUGUGUAAGUAACUGUGCACAUCUUGACGGUACCUAAUCAGAAAGCCACGGCUAACUACGUG